CCCGCUGAACUUAAGCAUAUUAAUAAGCGGAGGAAAAGAAACCAACUGGGAUGCUCCUAGUAAUGGCGAAUGAAGAGAGCAAAGCUCAAACUUGAAAUCUGCACUUCCUUGAGGGGUGUCGAAUUGUAGUUUUAGGAUUCUUAGUCGUGGGUUCAUUGCUCGGUCCGGUAAGUUACCUCGAAAGGUACGCCCGAGAAGGUGAAAGUCCUGUGCUGGAUUGGCGAAAGGCUUGCGUCUGGGUUUCCACGAGUCGGGUUGUUUGAGAUUGCAGCCCUAAUACGGGUGGUUGAUCCCAUCCAAAGCUAAAUAUUGUAACAAGACCGAUAGCGGAUAAGUACUGUGAAGGAACGGUGAAAAGCACUCUGAAAAGAAGGCGAAAAGAACUUGAAAUCGUUAUAAGGAAAGCGAACUUUGACAGUGACUGAUGUUGGAUUGUUCGAUUCGGGCGGGCUCUUUUACUCGGAAGGUUUUGGGCGGUAAAACGUUUGGACCGACCGGGACGGGGGGUUCGUUCGGGUAGUGUGGUUUAACAACGUGUCAGCGUGGAGUUCUCCGAGGGCUUAGUAGGGCGGGAAGAAGGUGCCUGGGGUUGUCUUUCGGGGCAGCUUCGGGUCAUAUAGACUCUCGUUCCAAAGGUUCGCGGAAGCUUCUGUAGACGUUCGAAUUCUCGGGGUAAAACCCGGGGAGAGGGGAGGCGGGGCUCGGCUCAGGCCUGAGGGGGGCGUUUCUGGGUAAAACCAGAGGCGUUUUCUAUCGGGAGGUGGGAGUUUCGUUUCUUUCAUUCGAUCGAUCGCUGGUGAAAUGGCAAAGUUCGACCCGUCUUGAAACACGG
rnacentral:rRNA from 1 species